AGAGCCCAAACCAAGAAGCUUGCUUCUUGGGGUUGUAGGACACUCUAUACGGAGUUACAAAAGAAAGUUAUAAAUGAAGCGGUCUGGAAAGGCCCGCCAAAGACGGUAACAGCCCGGUAGUUGAAAUGGCUUUCCCUCCAGAGUGGAUCCUGAGUACGGCGGAACACGUGAAAUUCCGUCGGAAUCCGGGAGGACCAUCUCCCAAGGCUAAAUACUCCCUAGUGACCGAUAGUGAACCAGUACCGUGAGGGAAAGGUGAAAAGCACCCCGGAAGGGGAGUGAAACAGUUCCUGAAACCGUGUGCCUACAAGUAGUUAGAGCCCGUUAAUGGGUGAUAGCGUGCCUUUUGUAGAAUGAACCGGCGAGUUACGAU
rnacentral:rRNA from 1 species